GAAACAAAGCAGAAGCACCCGCUUCUCACCUGUUCAACGCAAAUGCAGUUGGCUGGUCAACCGAACUUUCAGAGAUGAUUGAGGUAGUGUGGGUGCAGUAUGCGCCGACGCUUUUUUAUUUGU
rfam:Fictibacillus enclensis strain NIO-1003 genomic scaffold Scaffold2, whole genome shotgun sequence.